UACGUAGGGUGCGAGCGUUAAUCGGAAUUACUGGGCGUAAAGCGUGCGCAGGCGGUUCGUUAAGACAGAUGUGAAAUCCCCGGGCUUAACCUGGGAACUGCAUUCGAGACUGCAUUGCUAGAGUAUGGGAGAGGGAAGUGGAAUUUCAGGUGUAGCGGUGAAAUGCGUAGAUAUCUGAAGGAACAUCAGUGGCGAAAGCGACUUCCUGGACCAAUACUGACGCUCAUGUGCGAAAGCGUGGGGAGCAAACAGG
rnacentral:rRNA from 1 species